rnacentral:rRNA from 1 species
GAUGAACGCUGGCGGCGUGCCUAAUACAUGCAAGUCGAGCGAACAGACGAGGAGCUUGCUCCUCUGACGUUAGCGGCGGACGGGUGAGUAACACGUGGAUAACCUACCUAUAAGACUGGGAUAACUUCGGGAAACCGGAGCUAAUACCGGAUAAUAUAUUGAACCGCAUGGUUCAAUAGUGAAAGACGGUUUUGCUGUCCCUUAUAGAUGGAUCCGCGCCGCAUUAGCUAGUUGGUAAGGUAACGGCUUACCAAGGCAACGAUGCGUAGCCGACCUGAGAGGGUGAUCGGCCACACUGGAACUGAGACACGGUCCAGACUCUUACGGGAGGCAGCAGUAGGGAAUCUUCCGCAAUGGGCGAAAGCCUGACGGAGCAACGCCGCGUGAGUGAUGAAGGUCCUCGGAUCGUAAAACUCUGUUAUUAGGGAAGAACAAAUGUGUAAGUAACUAUGCACGUCUUGACGGUACCUAAUCAGAAAGCCACGGCUAACUACGUG